rnacentral:tRNA from 1 species
GAAGGUAUAGGUCAGGUGAUAGAGCACAUGCUUAGUAUGCAUGAGGUCCUGGGUUCAAUCCCCAGUACCUCCU